AGCUUUUGUUUGUUUUAUUUUGAAAUGUCUGGCGCGCUUUGAUGAUGUCACCAAGCGUUCAGCUCCCUGGAGAUUCUGCUGAAAUGACGAUGGUGUGGAUGACUUAACUGGCACUAGACCUUCAUAUGAUGAUGGGAGCUGAUUCUCUUUCAGAAGAAAUGCUUACAAGAUGUUAAUCAGAAACUACAUGAUGGUGUAGACUUUAUUAUUUGCUAUAUAAGAUUCUGUAUUACUUGAAUGUACUGUCAAAAGUAUAAAUAUUAAAUUAAAAUUAAAGGACAAACCUGAACAAAUGAAUGGAAAAGCUAACUGCAGAUGUUUGAAGCGCAGUGUAAAUUCAUCAUCCUACCAUUUUCCGUCAUGUAUAAAAAUGCUGAGAAGACCCACAUGACCUCAGUUUUGGAUAAUCAUGGUAAGAGGAAAAGAUCUCAGUGACUUUGAAAGAGGGUUCAUCAUUGGGGCACGGAUGGCAGGAGCUUCAGUCACAAAGAUCGCUCAGCUGGCUUGUGUGUCUAUAGGAACGGUGACUAAAGUGACAUCUGCCUUCAGGUCUGUGGGAAAGACCUCAGUAAACAGAGCUGGCAAUUGCGGGCGAAAGCGCAGAUUCAGUGAGCGUGACGCUCGCGCUCUUGUGCGCUAUGUGGAGAAAAACAAAACAGCGACGGUUAUUCAGGUGACGGAAAAUAUCAACGCAAAGCGUGAUCAGACCGUGUCCACAAGAACGGUCCGUCGACAGCUACAAAGAGAGGGAUACAGCAGGGUCCCGGUGUUUAAACCCCACAUUACAAACACAAAAAAUACAGAGGUCUACACUGAUGCUGAAAAAAGGGAUCUGGUCUGAUUAGUCAACUUUGUUAUGGUUUGGGGAAUUUAUUUAUGUUGCUAUGAUGUUUUUGGUCCCCUAAGUAGGAAACACCACUGCAAAUGCAUAUAAAGUUCUGCUUACUGAUCACCCUCUGAUCAUCUACGAUAAAACAUUUCUUUCCUGAUGGGAGUGGUCUCUUCCUGGAUGGCUCCACCACCUCCCCAGUCAUUCCCAUGUCUCACGGAAUUGUACAUUGUAGAUAAAAAUGAAGUAACUCAUACUGUAUUCUAUCAUCUUUAUGCUGAUCAGAUCUCAAGGUAAGGUUUUGGACCAAUGUUUCAGACAGAGCUCACCACCACCACCACCAUGAUGACAUCAGUUGGAGGAACUUAACUGAAUUCAAAUGCAGAGUCUGGUUUAAUUGAUGCACUGAAUGUUUACGGACACUGUUUCUGAUACUUUGUUCGUGGAUCAUAACACCAUUCUUAAGACACUUUAUGUCAGGGUUGUCCAAACUUAUCCACAAAGAGCCGGUGUGGUCCAGGUGUUUAUUCAUUUCAGGAAGGAGCCACAUUUGAUUCCAUCUUAUCUGGGCUUUCACAAGACUCGGGUGUGGCUUGUUAGAAUGAAAACCUGCAACCACACUGAUCUUUUCUGGGUUCUUUUCUUUUGAACUCCCCUGCUUUAUAUAUCUAUAUGUCUAUAUAUAUGCUUUCACUUUCUUACUUAUACAAAUGUGUGUGUACAGAGAAAAGCAACUACAGAAUGUAAACUGUAGACUAUUAACCUUAAAUGCUGUCACUUGCAGGCUCUUUUUUUUCUCUUGUUUUAUUACAGGACAUUAAUGUUAUCUUUAAAUUAUUUAACAGAUUUGUUGUAAUUGUGCACCGUCAAAUAAAAAGUUCUUCUUA